rnacentral:rRNA from 1 species
UACAGAGGAUGCAAGCGUUAUCCGGAAUCACUGGGCAUAAAGCGUCUGUAGGUUGCGAAUCAAGUCUGCUGUUAAAGACUAGGGCUUAACCCUGGGAAAGCGGUGGAAACUAAUACGCUGGAGUGUGGUAGAGGUAGAGGGAAUUCCUAGUGUAGCGGUGAAAUGCGUAGAUAUUAGGAAGAACACCAAUGGCGAAAGCACUCUACUGGGCCAUAACUGACACUGAGAGACGACAGCUAGGGGAGCAAAUGGG